CUACGAGGGGAAAAAGGCUAGCAGUGAGGGAGAGGAGGAGGACUGCAGGCGGAAGAGCGCGCGCGUUUUAGGAUCCCCGACUCAGAAGCUCUGCCUGGCCUCAGGAUGUGGCGAGCCUCAAGAGACGGUUUGAAGGUGUUUGUGCCAACGUGACCCCCGGGGAGAUUUGGAGGAAGCUUUCUACGUCCUAGGAGGCUGAGAUCCCACGGAGCCGGUUUACGGUUGAGAGCAGACAGUUUCGAGUAGAUAGCGCUGGAAGAGACACGAAGAAUCUCUCUUGCUUCUUGGAACGCGAUAACCACAUUUCUUUCUCUGUUACCCCACUACUAAAAAUCAGCAAUCCGCACAGAGCAGGCAGCCGCUUUGGUUCGAAUGAAUUAAUUUGCCCAAGA
rnacentral:lncRNA from 1 species